AACCCUCUCCCCAUUCUCUCCCUUCCCUCUCCUCUCCUCCCCUCCCCUCCCCUCCCACCUCUCCUCUCUCGACGCGGGUUCCGGCCGGAGCUGCCGCCGGAGGGCGGCGGCGGCUACCGGCGGUGGCAGAGGUGGCUCAAGGCGGUGGCUGCGCGGAGGGUGGAGCCAGCGGCGGGCUUCCCUCCCUCCUCCCAGAUCCGAUGGAGGCGGAGGUAGAAGGCGGAGGCGGCGCGAAGGGUGGACGCCGCGGCGGUGGGUCCGCUGGGAGGGGUGAGGGCGGUGGCGUCGGCGGCCCUCCCCUCCGGAUCUGGCGAGGCGGCUACGUCCGCGGCUGGAUUCGGCACCUCCGCCGUCGUCGCUGUGGUGCGACCUCCCCCGUUCCCGACCCCCUAUAUUGGAUAAGGAGGGGAGGAGGGCGAAGGGGAGGGUGAAGGCAGUUUUGGAGGGCGGCUACGCCGGGAGGGGGGAUGGCGGUGGCGGCGGUGGCCAGAUGCGGACCUCCGACGCGCGCGGCGGACGGCGCGAAGACGGCGAACGGUGAGUCACCUUCCCGCCUCUCCCUCUCCCUAGCCUCUGCGUCUCCCUCUUCCUCUCCUCCCCUCCCCUCCCACCUCUCCUCUCUUGGUGGAGUGGUGGCGUGGUGCGGGGACUGCCGUUGCCGACGAGGCCAGCUCGGAGUGGCGGACCAUGGCGCGAGGGAGUGUCCAACACGCAACCCCUCCCAUCUGCUGCCUCCGUGCCUCCUCCUCCUGUGCUGACGGCUCCGGUGGAGGCCCUCUUCGAUCGCCACCGCCACCGUGCCCUGCUACCCCCUUCCGCUUCCCUUUCUCCACCCGUGUCCCUCUCCUCCGAGUAGCGUUACCGGCCGCAGCCCCUCUCCUCCGAGCAGCGUUACCGGCCGCAGCCCCUCCUCCUGAGCUGGCUGUCGGUGCCAUGCCGCGCCGCUCCUCGGAUGAGUCGAUGAUGCCGCGACACUGAGCCUUCGUCGGAGAGCAUCUGAUUUGGCCCUUUGUGCCCAGGUCGGUUUGGCCACUGCAGGUGGAGCCGUGAAGGUAAUGGCCGCCGCCAGCCAGUGGACCACCUUCUUGGUCCCCCUACGACCUGCGCGCGUCGAUCUACUACCGGGGAACGCCGGAUGCAGGCCGUCGUGGCUGGAUCUACCAGCGCUGGUGUACGACGGCACGAAGUUUUGCAAUGGCGUCGUGCUUGGGACAAUAGGAGUUGGUGCGAUUUUGCGCCUUUUGCCACAACCAACCUCAACAUGGUGAAUUUCGAUGCUUUGCUUGCUUGCGCAAAUCAGCAGAUGUCUUUGAUGCUUGCAGGGUACCUGUGCGUGCACUGUGUAUUUGUCUCUGAGAAGUUACUGUGAAGGAGGUGACAUGUAAGAUGCUCUAACAUUUUUCACUCUUCACUGAUCCUACAGUUUUAUCUUCCAAUGUUCUAAGUCACUGGAACAAGAACGACAUGGCAGAGAGGAUAAGAAGAGAAGGGGUGUCCUUUUCUCUGAAAAGAUAAGAAUAGCUCUCUUCAAGUAUGUUCAAGUAGGCUAGCGUGAAGGUUCUCAAGGAGGUGACCAAGACGAGGAAGGUGCCUGUGCUGGAGGUGCCCUUGGCGUUGACCAAGAUCAAGAAGGCAAAUCUUGAGACAUCCUCAUUCUUUGAGACUCUUAGAGGGACAGAGUUCCCGGUCAGGACAUGGAUGCGCAUCUUUGUGAAGGCCAUGGAGCGAACAUUAUCACGAAUGCAGGGAGAUCUUGACUCGAGAGGUCACCGUCUGCACGUCGAGGCAGUAGAGAGCAUCGAUGAGAUGCAUCCUGAGAGAGGCGGGUCCCUUGGCGCCAGACUCCAUCCCGAUCUCCCCGGCCAGGCCAAAGACAGCAAGGGCGCACGCCGCCGCGGCCAUGGCGUCGGAAGGCUCCUCCACCACCGCGAGGAAGGCCGCGAUGAGGGCCGUCGCGGCGCAGCCCGUCGCCGUUAUCUUCUGCAUCAUGGCCACGCCGUUGCUCACUCCGACCACCCGCUCGCCGUCGGUGACGUAAUCGACGGCCCCGGACACCGCGAUGACGGCACCGGUGGACCGUGCCAGUGCUUUUGCAUCUUGAAGAGCGUCCCCUGAAUCAUGUGUACUGUCCGCGCCCUGCAAAAUCGAUGGGAAUUGAUUGGAACAUUGUACAUUAUAUACUAGUAUCAAUGUACUAGUAAAUUGUUUUGGUUAGUCAGUCAGUUUUGAUUCUUGACAGAACUGAAAGAUCAAUCUGACAUUAGCCAUCAAUCUGACAUUUUGGAUAAUAA